rnacentral:rRNA from 1 species
GACGAACGCUGGCGGCGUGCCUAAUACAUGCAAGUUGAGCGCUGAAGGUUGGUACUUGUACCAACUGGAUGAGCAGCGAACGGGUGAGUAACGCGUGGGGAAUCUGCCUUUGAGCGGGGGAAACCUUUGGAAAAGGAUGCCAAAACCGCAAUAAAACCUUAAAACAUAGUUUUUAGUUUGAAAAAUGGCAUUGCAUUAAUCAAAGCUGGUCCCGGCGUUGUAUUGGUUGGUGGGUGAGGUAAAGACCCACCAAGGGGUUGAUACUUAGCCGACCUGAGAGGGUGAUCGGCCACAUUGGGACUGAGACACGGCCCAAACUCCUACGGGAGGCAGCAGUAGGGAAUCGUCGGCAAUGGGCGAAAGUCUGACCGAGCAACGCCGCGUGAGUGAAGAAGGUUUUCGGAUCGUAAAACUCUGUUGGUAGAGAAGAACGUUGGUGAGAGUGGAAAGCUCAUCAAGUGACGGUAACUACCCAGAAAGGGACGGCUAACUACGUG